AAGAGAAAAAAGGCAUUGGAGAGAAAAGGCCAAAGGCAGACAGAGCACCAAAACUGGUGGAUUGGAUGGAAAAGUCUGUGAUGGAGACUCCUCUCCAGCUAGCAGCUAAAAACUGACACCAUGCUCAGAGGAUAAAUCGAGGGAGAUACGUCAUUCCUCCCCUGGCUUGGGUUCUUGAGCCUUAUUCAGCUCACCAAAGCUGGCCUGGUUUCUUCUAUUUUGCAGAAUUGCUCUGCAGGAAAGGAGGGGUCCCUUUUUUCCUCGGCUAACAAGACCAUGCUUGGAAGAGACAUGCAUCUCAAAGAGGCCAAUUUCAGUACAGCUGAACAGAAUGCAACCAUCCUUCCCGCUAUAUACAUGAAUAUUCCACAUCCGAUUCGCAGUCUGUCUAACCCUAUAAUGGGCUUCCUGACAUGUGUGUUAAGGGACCGAAUAUUUGCACGUUUCUUUGCCUCCAUCGUCAUCUUUGGGCUUUUGGGAAACAUUGUCAUUUUCUCCUUUCUCCUCUUCCACAUUAAGAGGAAUUCCUGGAAUGCUUACAUCUGGAACUUAGCUAUAGCCAACUGCGGCAUCUUUUUAUUUCUCUGCAGUUCCUUUCUCCUCGCCUUUGUUAAUUACAUUUUUAAGGAUGCCAGCGAUGCCUUUGUGCAGUUGUUUCUCUCACUGGCAUACCUGUUUUUAUACACCCAGUGUGCUUAUAUGCAUUUCAUUGCAGCCAUCAGCAUCGAUUGGGGCCUGCUUCUCCUCUUCCCAAGUUGGCACAAACAGCAUCAGCCAAACUCCUUGUCCUCUCUCGUAUCAGCUGUUUUAUCGGCCCUCCUCUGGCCUCUGUUGUGCCAACUGUUGUUCUUUUUCAGCUUGGGAGUCAACCCAAAGACCAUCGUGAUCCUAUCCUUGAUUCUUUUCCUCCCUCUGGUGUCCAUCUCCUUUCAGACCCUGAUAGUCAACAUUUGGUACAACUUGGGCCAGCAAAGAAAAAUCCGUGCAGAAAAAAUGCUGAAAAUGCUUGGUUCCAUUGUCACUCUGGUACCCCUCCAUCUCUUCUUCACCCAGAACUCUGAUUGCACAAUCAUCUCAUUAUUUUUUAUGCUUUACGUUUUGUUUUUGUGUUUUGCAAGGAUGAGCUAAGAAUAGUCAGUAUUGGUUUAUAGAGUCUUAAAGUACCACACCUAUGUCUAGAUGAAUAAAGCUUGCACCCUUGGCUCUGUUUAAAUAAACGAAUGCAUGCCAAA